rnacentral:rRNA from 1 species
GGAUGAAUGGUUUGACAAGAAUAUAGCUGUCUCUUUAUGAUUUAACAGAAUUUUAUUUUAGGAUGAAAAAGUCCUAAUUAAAUUAAAAGACAAGAAGACCCUAUCGAGCUUGAAAGAAAUUAGCAAGAAUAUAUUAAUUAUACCUAAAAAAUAGGUUGCUAAAAAUUUUAGUUGGGGCAACUUAGGAGCAAAAAAAGCCUCCUCUAAAAGCUAUUAAACAUACUAGUGUUGAUCCAAAAUUUUUGAUUAAAGAAAAUAGUUACCGUAGGGAUAACAGCAUUAUCUUUUUUGAGAGCUCUUAUCGAAAAAAAGGUUUGUGACCUCGAUGUUGGACCAGAAUGUCCUAAAGAUGUAGAAGUCUUUGAGGGUUGGUCUGUUCGACCA